AUGAAUUGCUAUCAGCUAUCACCAAAAUUAUCUCACCGUAUUGUGUUCAUGGAGCAAAACUCAAAUGUUUGCAUUUACUUGCAAGUCAAAGUAAAGGAUACAUGUUGACUGAGCCCUUUGUCUGACAGGUUCCUCACCCCCAAACACGUGGUGAAAACAGCUCACUGAGACAGUCCUGAUGGGAUUGGGCUGCUGAAGUGUCAAGGCCAGCGAAGCACUCAGCAAAGCAUUCAGGUAAACAGCCAGGAAAUGACUGAGGAGGGGCUGACGGCCAAGAUCCUCGGAAUCUCGUGGAUUAAGGGGAG